rnacentral:misc_RNA from 1 species
UGCGUCACUGCUCCCAAGGCGAAUUGGCGAUGUUCGCCGGCGAUUUCGUUCUACUCCGAUUCCACUAAACUCUACAAUCGGAGCAGCAUCCGCUUCUACGCCGGAAACCGGAACUCCAGCAGAAUCAGAUGCAACUUGAAAGCUACCGGCAGCAGCAACAAUCAGCCGGAAACAAGUACCGGAAUCCAGCUAUAUAGAGAUAUUGAGAGAUUACUUACAGAGACAGUGAAGCAAUCUCAAGAUUGGGGAAGUUCACAGGACUGGGAUGAAAUCGAGGGAGCAUGGGUAUUGCAACCAAAAACAUCAAAGCCGAAGUUAGUCGUACAUUUUAUUGGAGGUGUUUUUGUUGGGGCUGCUCCGCAGCUUUCUUACCGCCUGUUCCUUGAGCGGCUCAGACAGAAGGAUGUCUUGGUGAUUGCUACACCUUAUGCUAGUGGAUUUGACCAUUUCUACAUUGCAGAUGAAGUGCAGUUUAAGUUUGAUAGGUGCCUUAGAUUUCUCCAAGAAAGAGUACAAGACCUUCCUGUAUUUGGCAUUGGGCACUCUUUAGGAUCUGUAAUUCACCUUUUGAUUGGAGCUAGAUAUGCUGUGAAAAGAAACGGGAAUGUAUUGAUGGCUUUCAACAACAAGGAUGCCAGCCUUGCAGUGCCGUUGUUCUCAUCUGUUCUUGUUCCAAUGAUGCAAAACUUAGGACCAGUUUUAUCACAGAUCGCAUCAUCACCAACCAUUCGUCUUGGGGCGGAGAUGACUAUGAAGCAAAUAGAGAACCUUAGCCCCUCAAUCAUGAAGCAAGUUUUUCCACUGGUUGAGCAACUGACUCCUCUAUACACGGACUUGAUUAAUGGAAAAGAAAAUUUCACUCCAAGACCAGAAGAAACUCAAAGACUGAUAAGGUCCUACUACGGGAUUUCGAGGAAUCUCUUAGUUAAGUUCAAAGAUGAUACAAUCGACGAAACUUCAACACUAGCUCAGGUGCUCAGCUCAGGUUCCGCCAUCAGCUCAAUGCUGGAUAUGUCUAUCCGCACUCUUCCUGGAGACCAUGCGCUUCCUCUACAGCAGGCUCUACCAAAUGCUCCUCCAGGAAUGACGGACGCUGUUAACAGGAGCAGCGAGCUAUUGGCGAACUUGACAGCAGGAACGCCAUGGGAAAACGUCACGAAGGAAGUCGGCAAUACGCUCGGUAAUGUAGACUCUAUAAUUCUUAAUUCUGGGAAUUCAAAGGACUUGGAUAUGCUUGUGGAGACAAUAACAUCAUGGAUGUACUCUAACACUGGCCCAAAACUUUUACAGUGAUAUAUGCUAAAAAAAAUAUAUGUAUAUGAACCCUACUGAAUGGUUCUGUAAUUUGUAAUGAUUGUAUAUACUUGAUUGACAUUUAGUACUCAUGUAUAAUAAUGUGACUAACUUUUUGAAUGUUUUGGUAUAAAAAGGUCAAUUAUUUGUAACUGGUAAGUGGUA